ACCAUCAUAAUGAUGGGGAUUUAUUAAAAUAAAGAAUAUGUACAAAGAACUACUCCAAAAUAGGAGAGUUUGAAAACCAAAAAGAAACUAAGAAAGCAAAAGAAACAAAAGAGAAGCUAACAACUAAGAAAUUAAGCUAAAAACAACAAUGAGAAAGCUCUUGGAAGUACUAAUUCUGGUGUCUUGAUCUUCCUCCAUUUAUCACACCUCCAAGUUCUCAGUAGGUGGUAUGGGACAAGAUCUAGAUAAAUAUAAUUCAGGCCUCCAAAACAGAUUCCAACUCACAAUUCCUGCAGUUUUCAGCUUAUGCAAUUCAGCAAGUGUUCCUUGUGUCAUAUGUCCCAUGGGAAUGAGAAUGUGAUCACACUAAUACCACCCAUAAAAAUAGCCUCCAACUGUGCUAGAUCAAUGCAGCAACAGUAUGUCAUGUAUGACAGUAUAAAGCAGCAGCUAUAGCACAUAUGCAGAGGACUGCAAUUAGGGAACUAAUGGUGUAGAGCCCGGAGUGAACAAGCAUGUACAGAUUAUGUGGCCUUUCUGUAUACGGUAAAAAUCGGGUAUAUGUUAAACCGGUGAGACCAGAGGCCGAGGGAAAAAAGGAACAAGAACGUGCACGAAGGCUCCCGUUCUGAACCGGGGGAAUGUUUGGACCGAAGCAAGGGAAGGGCAUCAUUUGGUCCGGUUCCCCCAUGACCGGUUUGAUCUAGGCCGUUGGUCCGUUUGAUUGUGGCCGUUGGUCCGGUAGAUCCAUUGCGCGGCUGCCACGCGUCGAUAACGUCUUGCCGUGUUCAACUGCCAAUCGUACGAAUGUCAGAUCGUACGGUCAACCUAAUCCAACCUACUCCAACUCAGAGCUCUCUCCUUAUAAUUUUUUUCAUAUUGUAUGAAGCCCAUGGGGCAGUACUAUAAAUAAGGGGCAUUGUCCUCCUUUUAGGGGGUUGGCUCCUACAUUUCCAAGAACUCUUGUAAUAGCAAUAUAUAUACAAAAUCUCCCUCUCAUACAUCA